rnacentral:rRNA from 1 species
UACGUAGGUCCCGAGCGUUGUCCGGAUUUAUUGGGCGUAAAGCGAGCGCAGGUGGUUUAUUAAGUCUGGUGUAAAAGGCAGUGGCUCAACCAUUGUAUGCAUUGGAAACUGGUAGACUUGAGUGCAGGAGAGGAGAGUGGAAUUCCAUGUGUAGCGGUAAAAUGCGUAGAUAUAUGGAGGAACACCGGUGACGAAAGCGGCUCUCUGGCCUGUAACUGACACUGAGGCUCGAAAGCGUGGGGAGCAAACAGG